UCCCCAGACUCCUACGGGGGGCAGCAGUGAGGAAUAUUGGUCAAUGGGCGCGAGCCUGAACCAGCCAAGUCGCGUGAGGGAAGACGGUCCUAUGGAUUGUAAACCUCUUUUGUCGGGGAGCAAAGCGAACCACGUGUGGUUCAUUGAGAGUACCCGAAGAAAAAGCAUCGGCUAACUCCGUGCCAGCAGCCGCGGUAAUACGGAGGAUGCGAGCGUUAUCCGGAUUUAUUGGGUUUAAAGGGUGCGCAGGCGGAGGUGCAAGUCAGCGGUCAAAUUGCGGGGCUCAACCCCGUCGUGCCGUUGAAACUGGCGUUCUUGAGUGAGCGAGAAGUAUGCGGAAUGCGUGGUGUAGCGGUGAAAUGCAUAGAUAUCACGCAGAACUCCGAUUGCGAAGGCAGCAUACCGGCGCUCAACUGACGCUCAUGCACGAAAGCGUGGGUAUCGAACAGGAUUAGAUACCCGUGUA
rnacentral:rRNA from 1 species